rnacentral:rRNA from 2 species
CGGCGUGCCUAAUACAUGCAAGUCGAACGAACUCUGGUAUUGAUUGGUGCUUGCAUCAUGAUUUACAUUUGAGUGAGUGGCGAACUGGUGAGUAACACGUGGGAAACCUGCCCAGAAGCGGGGGAUAACACCUGGAAACAGAUGCUAAUACCGCAUAACAACUUGGACCGCAUGGUCCGAGUUUGAAAGAUGGCUUCGGCUAUCACUUUUGGAUGGUCCCGCGGCGUAUUAGCUAGAUGGUGGGGUAACGGCUCACCAUGGCAAUGAUACGUAGCCGACCUGAGAGGGUAAUCGGCCACAUUGGGACUGAGACACGGCCCAAACUCCUACGGGAGGCAGCAGUAGGGAAUCUUCCACAAUGGACGAAAGUCUGAUGGAGCAACGCCGCGUGAGUGAAGAAGGGUUUCGGCUCGUAAAACUCUGUUGUUAAAGAAGAACAUAUCUGAGAGUAACUGUUCAGGUAUUGACGGUAUUUAACCAGAAAGCCACGGCUAACUACGUGCCAGCAGCCGCGGUAAUACGUAGGUGGCAAGCGUUGUCCGGAUUUAUUGGGCGUAAAGCGAGCGCAGGCGGUUUUUUAAGUCUGAUGUGAAAGCCUUCGGCUCAACCGAAGAAGUGCAUCGGAAACUGGGAAACUUGAGUGCAGAAGAGGACAGUGGAACUCCAUGUGUAGCGGUGAAAUGCGUAGAUAUAUGGAAGAACACCAGUGGCGAAGGCGGCUGUCUGGUCUGUAACUGACGCUGAGGCUCGAAAGUAUGGGUAGCAAACAGGAUUAGAUACCCUGGUAGUCCAUACCGUAAACGAUGAAUGCUAAGUGUUGGAGGGUUUCCGCCCUUCAGUGCUGCAGCUAACGCAUUAAGCAUUCCGCCUGGGGAGUACGGCCGCAAGGCUGAAACUCAAAGGAAUUGACGGGGGCCCGCACAAGCGGUGGAGCAUGUGGUUUAAUUCGAAGCUACGCGAAGAACCUUACCAGGUCUUGACAUACUAUGCAAAUCUAAGAGAUUAGACGUUCCCUUCGGGGACAUGGAUACAGGUGGUGCAUGGUUGUCGUCAGCUCGUGUCGUGAGAUGUUGGGUUAAGUCCCGCAACGAGCGCAACCCUUAUUAUCAGUUGCCAGCAUUAAGUUGGGCACUCUGGUGAGACUGCCGGUGACAAACCGGAGGAAGGUGGGGAUGACGUCAAAUCAUCAUGCCCCUUAUGACCUGGGCUACACACGUGCUACAAUGGAUGGUACAACGAGUUGCGAACUCGCGAGAGUAAGCUAAUCUCUUAAAGCCAUUCUCAGUUCGGAUUGUAGGCUGCAACUCGCCUACAUGAAGUCGGAAUCGCUAGUAAUCGCGGAUCAGCAUGCCGCGGUGAAUACGUUCCCGGGCCUUGUACACACCGCCCGUCACACCAUGAGAGUUUGUAACACCCAAAGUCGGUGGGGUAACCUUUUAGGAACCAGCCGCCUAAGGUGGGACAGAUGAUUAGGGUGAAGUCGUAACAA